rnacentral:tmRNA from 1 species
GGGGACGUUUUGGAUUUGACAGGAUGCCAGAUUGAAACAGGCUGCGAGUCCGAGCGCUGUUCUCGGUUAUCAACGAGCAAACUAAAUUAAAUGCUAACAAUGUAAUUAAAGUAGACUUCAGCCCAAGAGCAUAUGCAUUGGCUGCGUAGUCGCUAAUUAGCUACUCAUAUAGCCCAGCUUGCCGGCGAUAUGGGUCCAUUAUGCAAGCCGCAGUACCGCGAUGACGGUAGCGGUAUCAAGAUAACCGUCAAGGGUUUAGAGUUUCCCUCAAAUAAAACCUAGGGCUGAUUUAAGGGUAAUGAUACUUUCCCGAAUCAGUUGAGAAAAUAAGUAUCUACACUCGUAGAAGCUUGUUUAGAUCCAUUUUGGACAGGGGUUCGACUCCCCUCGUCUCCA